rnacentral:rRNA from 1 species
UACGUAGGGGGCAAGCGUUGUCCGGAUUUAUUGGGCGUAAAGAGCGUGUAGGCGGCCAUACAGGUCCGUUGUGAAAACUCGAGGCUCAACCUCGAGACGUCGAUGGAAACCGUAUGGCUAGAGUCCGGAAGAGGAGAGUGGAAUUCCUGGUGUAGCGGUGAAAUGCGCAGAUAUCAGGAAGAACACCCGUGGCGAAGGCGGCUCGCUGGGACGUCACUGACGCUGAGACGCGAAAGCGUGGGGAGCAAACAGG